AAGAUGUGAAUUGUCUUCUUGUCUUGUUGCUACUCCUACCAGCUUUUACUGAAUUUUUGAGCUGUUUCCUUUUUGUCCGAACCAGAACAUCUCGGAUUUCCCGGAAGUCGGUUUCUCCAUUACGGCUUCUAAUUUCUACAAUUCUUUUUUUCUAUUGGGGUUUCUAGAAAAACAAACUCCUUUUUCUAAACAUAUAAACAAUCCCAAUUUCACUUUUCACAACCCACCAACUACUGCUUCUAAUUUUAUGCAGUUGGUGUCUGCAGAGCUGAGAGCUUCAAGAAAAUGGCUGCUUUGAGGUCUUCUUCUUCUUCUUCUUCUGUCCAAGAAACUGAAAAUCAUCAUCAUAGAGAAGAGACUACCGGCAAUCAGAAGGUUU
rnacentral:misc_RNA from 1 species